UACGAAGGGGGCGAGCGUUGUUCGGAUUUACUGGGCGUAAAGGGCGCGUAGGCGGCGGGUCAAGUCGAGUGUGAAAGCCCCGGGCUCAACCUGGGAAUUGCGCUCGAGACUGGUCUGCUUGAGUUCGGGAGAGGAGAGUGGAAUCCAGGUGUAGCGGUGAAAUGCGUAGAUAGUCUGGAGGAACACCGGUGGCGAAGGCGGCAUCCUGGACCGGCAUUGACGCUGAGGCGCGAAAGCCAGGGGAGCAAACGGG
rnacentral:rRNA from 1 species